rnacentral:rRNA from 1 species
GACGAACGCUGGCGGCGUGCCUAAUACAUGCAAGUAGAACGCACAGUUUAUACCGUAGCUUGCUACACCAUAGACUGUGAGUUGCGAACGGGUGAGUAACGCGUAGGUAACCUGCCUGGUAGCGGGGGAUAACUAUUGGAAACGAUAGCUAAUACCGCAUAAUAUUAAUUAUUGCAUGAUAAUUAAUUGAAAGGUGCAAUUGCACCACUACCAGAUGGACCUGCGUUGUAUUAGCUAGUAGGUGAGGUAACGGCUCACCUAGGCGACGAUACAUAGCCGACCUGAGAGGGUGAUCGGCCACACUGGGACUGAGACACGGCCCAGACUCCUACGGGAGGCAGCAGUAGGGAAUCUUCGGCAAUAGACGAAAGUCUGACCGAGCAAUGCCGCGUGAGUGAAGAAGGUUUUCGGAUCGUAAAGCUCUGUUAUAAGAGAAGAACGGGUGUGAGAGUGGAAAGUUCACACUGUGACGGUAUCUUACCAGAAAGGGACGGCUAACUACGUG